rnacentral:lncRNA from 1 species
GUUGUAUUUGGUCUUUAAGAACUUAGCACGUUAAGUGUGAUGCCUCAAAUGGUUUUGGACUAUCAUUGCGAUUUUUAAUUCUAAAUAUUAAAUAAUUGACACAUCAUUUGAAUUUCUAAUUCAAAUCUCUUUCACUUGUGUUUAGCUUUAUUUAUCAAAGUUUGAAGAUAACGAUAAAAUUUUUGCAAUAAAUGCACUCCCAAUUAUUUGUUGAUUCGCUUCAAUUAACUCGAACUCAUUUGCUAUAAGUUAUUUUGAAGCAUUUCUUCCUUCCUCAUAUCCUCCAUAUCAAAAUUUGGUACCACAAAAUAAAUCGAAAACCUUUUUAAUAUUUGCUCGAAGGAUUAAGAGAACAAAUUAGCAAUGGGAAGAUUUAUGAAGAUCGCAUGUACAUGUCGUCGCUAAAUCAUUAUUUGUUACGAAUUGAUCCCCAAACUUAUUUUUUUGGCUUUAUACAGACACAAUGUGAGUUUUUUGUUCUAAAAUAUCACUGAACCAGCUAUUAUAGGUUGAUAGAGACUAAAAGAGCAUGUCUCCUAGUUUAGGGGUCCAUAAAGUCCGACAAAAACUUUAAAGACUAAAUCGAUAAACCUUAGAAAGUUUGUAGGGCAUUUAUUUCAUUUUCCCUUAUAUUAAUUUAACAUUACUAACCAUUUUUGUUCUAAAAUAUUACUGAACCGGCUAUUAUAGGUUGAUAAAGACUAAAAGAGCAUGUCGUCUCCUAGUUUAGGGGUCCAUAAAGCCUGUCAAAAACUUUAAAGACUAAAUCGAUAAACCUUAGAAAGUUUGUAGGGCAUUUAUUUCAUUUUCCCUUAUAUUAAUUUAACAUUACUAACCAUUUUAUAAUAAUAAUUGGAAAGAAAUUGAAAAAUAACGGGAGUUUCAAAUAUAUGUGAAACAAGUAAAAUAAUAUCUUUUAUAAGUAUAUAAAGAUAUAGAACAGAUAAAUAUAGAUAUAAAUAUAAGUAGAAAUAGAUGAUUUACAUAAUCUGUGUAAAAUAAGGAAUUAAUGUGUGUAAAAUAACAAAUUAGUAACUAAUCUCCAUGUAACUAACGACUCAUUCCUCCAAGAGCAGUGGGUGGAAUUUGGACUCCAAUGUUAGUCAUCGUCGACCUAUGGAUAUUUCCUUCCCAACCUAAUAUUUUACAAAAUCAAUGGGAUCAUUCAUUUUUGCUAAAGAGUUGUUUUUAUAGCAACACUAAGCUCGCUCACACAAUCCCAUAUAAAAUGUAAAUCAAGUAUAAAACAAAGUGGUUGGAAUAACAGCCACAUAUAUCAGUAUUUAAGUAUUAUAAAAGAUGAUUACCAAUAGACAAGUCGAAUCCUUGAUGUUGAAGCUCGCGAUACUCUUGACACAAGGCACAUGGUCCACAGCAGAAAUGAACGCAACAAUCAUUACUAGGAACUUCAGGCAAUCCAUAUUGGCGCCUCAUCUUGGUACGAUUAAAGCAAGCAUACAUGCAUCCACAACCGCUUAGAACAUUGAUCAGUGCAUAGAGGGUUCCAUGAAAUCCACAAGCUGUGUAUGAAAAAAAUAAACUAUCAAACUCCAUCAAGAAUCAUCCACAAUAAUUCUUGUUAGACAACUUACACGUUUUGCCGUUGUCUACAAUCUCAGCUAUUUGUCCGAAAGUAACACAAGGGCACCAACAUGUUAUACAACCUGUGGUUUGAGAACUAAAGUAAAGUAAUUAUUCGAUGAAAAAAAUAUACUUACUAAAAUUGGAUCAAAGAGGAGAAUGACCCUUAAUUACUGAAACAUAGUGUUUAUAUGUUUAUGAAUAUUGCGUAGAUUCGAAUCAGUGAUUUACAGUUAGGGAUAUCAAGGCAACAGUCACAAAGUCCACUUGACCAGGAGGUUUGGGACACCAGAGAUGAAGCUGAAACGCCGGCGACAUAUGAUGGUCCUGGUGGUGGUUGACCAUAUACUGGUGAUGGGACUGACGACGGUGUAGACUUUUGGGAAUACAUGACUAUUCAGUCCAAUAGUUAAUGGUACAGUUUGUUUGGGAUUUGAUUAUGAGAAUGAGUCUAUUUACAUAUUAUAUACUUAUGGAGUACAGGAACAUUUAAAGUGUGAAUUGACAUAGCAAAUAAAUAUAUUUUAUCAGUCAAAUUGGAACUAAAUAUUAAUAAAAUUUUGACCAAGUCUAUUUCAGUAAGAAAAUAUCAUUCUCAUCACUUAUGUUAUUUACGAUACCAAACCGCGUACAUGCAGAUACAUGACGCGUAAAUGAUAUUAUAACCCUUGUGUUUUUUUUUUUCAUAACCCUUGUUAUGAUACAAAACUUUAUAUACAAACGUAGAAGCUGGGCAGAAAUUGCGCAUGGAGCCAUGGAUGUCUUUUUAAUUAGUUAGGUCCACAAGAGCAAAAGUACUUAAAGGCUAAUUAUAUGAAAAUAAGCGCAUAAUUUCAUAGAAUUUGCAUAUUUUUUUCUUUCGAAAAUAUGAAGGUAGUCUGCUUAUCUAACUAGGCGUUCCGUGGCUUGUCUUCUUGUAGAAUAUUCAAAGUGGAUUCCCACCAAUCUCAAUCUGUCGAAGGUUGAGGAUAAAUUAAUUUUAAAAAACUGAUCGAAAAUGAGAAAUAUUAGUUGUAUGAUUUUUUUUUUUGGUAUAGCAAAGAAAAUAUAUCAACCACAAACUACACUAGGGAUGUUAAUUGAAUGAAUGUGACAUAUAAGUUUGAAAUUUAAAAGUGGGGAUGCCUGUAGCCUAAAGAAAACAUAAUACACUACAUGACCACACCCGAUAACAAUAACAAGAAUCGAAUCAACACAUGGAAGACCGGUCUGUAAGUAAGUUGCCCGGAAAAAGCAUAAUUCAACGAUCCUAUUUGCAUUGAAAAGGAACAAAGAACUCACUAGUAGGUUGUUUUUUGGUCGAUUUCCCAUUAAGAGGAAAUUAAUAACAGGUCCACUUAAAAUAUCCAGACAACUAGAGUGACAUCUCUAUUUUUACCGUCACAUUAUAACUUUUUUUUUAUGGUUAUUCAUUAAUAUGAAAUUUGGUAACCUAAUAGUAUUUCCGAAAAAAUGUUUCUAUUGAUUUAUUAAGGCUGCGGAUGUCAUAACUAAUAGAAGAAAUAUAAAUAUAAACGGACACUUAUAAUGUCUCAACAUACUAAUGGUUUAUAUUUCAUUGAAUCUCUCAUCAUGUAUGUAACUUUGUAUCGCAACAUGUGAUAUAAAGAAACUGAGUGGGUCAGGUUGAUGAAUACAUAUGAAUUUCAAUCCCACAAUGUUAUAUAUAUAUAUAUAUAUAUAUNNNNNNNNNNNNNNNGAGAGAGAGAGAGAGAGAGAGAGAGAGAAAAGUGAAUAUGUGGUUGUCAUGUAUGUAAUAUUAAGUAUAAAACCAUCAAAUUGACUUUAUUUUGAUUAAUAAAACAUAAUUUUUUUUUUCAUUUUUAGCUUCUUCCUAUUUAUUUUGAGCUCAUAUUAUUUCUAAUUUCAUAAUUCUUCCCCUAUAUCUAUGUAUUUCGAGUGCGUUUUUUAUAUUAGACCUUUAGUAGGCUUCAUAAAUUUCUUUGAUAUUUUAUUUAUGUGUUUUUACGAUUUUACCACUCCCACGUCUGUUUUUCGAAGCUAAUACGCUUCAAAGCUUAUAAGAUUCUGCAGACCCAAAAAUUAAUUUUCUCAAAAUUAUUUUGACAUUGAAUCUUCUAAAUAAAACUUAAUAAGAGCCUUAGAAAAACGUUAUCGUUACGUCUUGGUCAAUGUUGAAACUUCCAAGUUGAUGCUUCGAAAUUCCAAUCAUGUUUGAACAUUAAUAAAUAUUCUUUCAUCUAGCCAUAAAACCAAAUAUCACCAUUUCCAAGAUUCGCCACCAGCAAAUAUCAUGUACCCUUCUCAUCCACAAGACUAUCCUCCACAAUCAUAUUACCAACCACCGGCACCACCAGAAUCGAAUUACCAACCACCGCAGUAUGCCACAGGUAUUCCAGGUCAAUACGUGGUUCCUCAGCCCAUUAACGGGAAAUGGUCCAGCAGCCUUUGUGCCUGCUGCUCGGAUGUACCCAACUGUAAGUCCGUGGUUGGUCACCUUUCUUUUCUGCUCUAGUACAAGUGUACGUAUAUCACAAUGUACAAACAAUUAUGUUUCUUUGUUUUUGUAAACACAGGUUGCUUAACAUGUUGGUGUCCAUGCAUUACUUUUGGACAAAUUGCUGAGAUUGUUGAUAAGGGGAAUACUUGUAAGUGGAUUAAGGCAGGGUUUUCUGAUUUAAAUGUUGAAUUUAAAUUCUAUUGAUUCCAUUUUUUCUUCAACUGUUUUCUUUUUUUUUUUGGUAUAUAUUAGCAACAUAAUUCUCGAUAUUCUUAUAGCUGUAUUUGAUAUACAAGAAUCUUGUGAUAACUACCCCACAUACGAAACCUAGGAUGAAAGUAUAUGAUUACAUUGUCAUGAUUGGAUCAACAGAACAAAAUAUAUUUGAGUGUUAAACAUAAUAAUUGGUAUGUACUACAGCCUGUGGAGUACAUGGAGCUCUUUAUGCAAUAAUUGCAGCAUUCACAUGUUGUGGAUGUUUGUAUUCUUGUAUAUUUCGGAGCAAGAUGAGGAGCCAAUAUGGACUGCAUGAGACUCCUUGCAACGAUUGCCUUGUUCAUGUCUGUUGCGAACCCUGUGCGUUGUGUCAAGAGUAUCGUGAGCUUAAACAUAAUGGAUUUGACAUAUCUAUAGGUAUGCAUUCUCACUUGCGAACAUAUAUAUGUCCAAUAAAACAUUUUAAAUUUUAAAAGUGUAUUACAUAUUAUUAUUUACCAAAGCCCGAUUUAGAGAUUUAUGACUGAUUGCAGGAUGGCAAGGUAACAUGGAGAGACAGAAUUAUGGAGUACAAAUGCCACCUAUGACUCCGGGAGGAAUGUACCGUUAAACUACACAUUCAUCACUUCAUUCACGAAUUAAAGAUAUUUUCCAUGGUGCAUUGAAUUUUAUGUUGGUAAAAAUGAUUCGACAGCAUAAUUGUUUCGUAAAAAACGCUCGCCAAAUUAUUGGUAAAUAUAUUUUCCUUGGUAUUUUGAAUGUUAUCAUAUUGUAAUAACGUGCGUGUAGCUUAAUCGUGAGUUGUAUUUAAUUUUUAUUUUAUAAGUAUUGGUUUCAUAUUGAUAUAUGGGAAUUGUGGUCGGUUUGGAACCUAUUGUCACGUUAAGAAGUUUUCCACUCAUUGGAAAAAUAUUGUGCGGACUAGUUAUAGCAUGGAGGCUCAUGACAUUGAUAUUAACUUAUUCUUAUAAACGUGUGAAAUGGAGCUAAUAGGCCCUCAUUGAUCGAUUAGGUUUCGGGUUAUUAAACAAAGAUCAAUCUUGCAGUUUUGUCUAAUAAUAUAAUAUAAUUAUAGUAAACCUAAUACUAAUAUUAAUGAAAAUGUCUAAUAAUAUAACAUAAUAAUUAUAAUAAACCUAAUAUUAAUGAAAACAUAUAUUUAUAUACUAAAAAACUAAUUAAAAUAAAUCAAAUAAGAUAACAAUAAUAAUCAAAAUAAUAUUAAUAAUUACUAUUAUAUUUACAUUAAUAAUAUUAUCAUAUAAUUAUAUUUAUAUUAAUAAUAAUAUGAAAUUAUAAUUAUUAUAAUAAUAAUAUAAAAUAAAAAUAAUAAUAAUAUUUAAAGAAAGGGGGAAAUGCAAAACAAAAGGAGGGAAAAAGCAAAAAAAAAAAAAAAGUGGGAAACAAUUUUCAGUUCCUGCCAUUAUAUUUCCAACGAAAUUCCAAUAGAAUUGUAAUUUUAUAUAUCAAUUAAUAUUUUGUAGGAAACUUCCAACGCUUUUCCUACAAAAUGUUUUGGAUAUCUACUUCCGUGGAAAUAUGUAGGAAUUUUGUUAGAUUUUGCUUUUGUCGUAAGUUUAUAGGAAAUUCAAUGGAUAUUUUCUACGAAACACUUUGAUAGGAAAUAUUUUGUAGCUAAAACCAAAUAUUCUAGUAGUGGUCAUAGUGGCGAUCUCUUAUUAGUAAAACCCCAAAGGGUUAGGAUUUAGAGUUUAUCUAUAUAUAUUUGUAUUUUCAUUUGAGCAUAAAACAAUAAUAUCAAAGUAAUUUAUUCAACAACAUAUCAUACAAAGUGGCAAAUAGAAUAUUCUAUAUAUAAUACGGUUUUAAUGAAUUCGGCAUUUCAUUAUCAGAUGCGCCUUUUAAAAAAUAUAUAUAAUACAUCUUUUAUAUAAUCAACCGUAUAUGCUUAGUCACAUGUCAUAUAGACUACAGUUCCUAUUAAAAAGGUGUAUUUAUAUUUAUUAUAAAAAACAGGCGGCAAAUUUGCUGCAAAUCUCGAUUUUUUUGGAGAAAAACCCUCGACGAUCUCAGAUGCGCACCACGUAGUCCACUUUUUUUCGUGAAACCCCUCUGGUAUCUGAGACCAUGUAUGGCGAUAUCGAUCAGAACCCCACCACCAACGGAUCAUCACUCCCUCUCUAGCAUCGCUUCCAUCCAAGAGACCAAGAGCUGAUAAGUUUAUAUAUUUUAUUUCAAUGGGUUGUUUUUGCAUACAAAUUAAAACUACACUGAUUGAAUGCGAUUGUAUUUGAAGCUGGUAAGUAUAUAUUACAAUAAAAUGUUUUUUACAUCUUUAUAUUACAGGAUGUUAUUGCAAUAAAAAGUCUGGAUGGGUUAGCUGGAAUUUAUCUAACACACAACUUUUCUAAACCACAUAAGUUGGUAAGUUUUGCUCUCUUCCCACUUUACAUGAUCUCUUCUCUACAUGAUUCCUUAUUACUUAUAUGCUUCACGAUUUUUAUAAGUAUCUUCUUAAAUACAUAAAGGAACGUAAAGUAAUAGAGAUUUUUCAGAAACAAGUGGGUGUGGGUGAUCAAUUAAAUGCGACAAAUUAUUUGAUUUAAUCAUUUUUAGUACUUUAUGAACACUUGUUUUCGUAUAGACCGACAAAGAAAACAUGUUUGCUUGGUGAAGAGUUUCACACAUUGGAUAUUUAUGUGACUACAUACUUCAUCGGGGUAAUUUUAUAACUAUAGUUCAAUACUUCAGGGAAUAUGCUUCCUGAACAGGUUUGCCCACCGGGAUGAUUUGACGUUUAUCGUAUUUUAUAAACAUUUGUAAAGUGUUUUACUUGGAAAACAAAAAACAUGGUGGAUAAAUGGUUCCUAUCAAUAUCAUAAUAGUGUAUGUUUGCUUACAUAAUACUAUUAUUUUUUCCCAGUACUUGUAAACUGGAUGACCAUGCUUUCAAAGAAAGUAUUGCGCACUCCUAUCACAAGGUCUAAUCUCAGUUUAUCUUGGAAAGGUCAGUAUUAACAUAACUAACAUGAUGUGCUCCUUUUCCAUAAUCCAUGUCCUUUGAUAGAGUUAUUUGUCAUGAUUACUAGACACUACCGAAAUAUGUAACAUGUAAUGUUGAAUGUAAUUACAAAUAUCAAGAUCUUGAUUCUUCAAUAUGCAGCACCCUUUCAUUUGUUAUCUUCCAUUGCAAUCCUUAAUGCACAAAUUUAGAUUUCGACAUACCCC